AAUCUACUGCUUGUUUGUUGAGAAAAUUGUAUUGCUGUGUAUGACCAUGUUACCAAACAUGGGGCUAUAAUUUGCACCCUCAAAAGUCAAGUUCAGCCACUUGAUCUCAAGAAGUCAACUGAAGCAGUCACAUUCAUAGUAAAAGAUGAGUUCUUGAGCUCGAGUGUGGUAGUCAGCUGCCUGAGAUCUAUCUGCCUAGAAAACCUGAGUUGGAAACUGACCUCAGAAUUCAAUUCUAGUUCAGAGAUGUAUCACUUACCGAGAAUUUCCAUAGCCCUCCAACAUCGAUGCUCCUUUCAAAGCAGAUGGGGUCCAGCCCUUCCUCCAGACAGCACCGUAUUGCGGCCAAGCCACUUACUCCAGCUCCCACGAUGGCCACUUUCUUGCCCAUGAUAGGUGGUACGAAAAAAGUCUUCA